rnacentral:lncRNA from 1 species
AAAGCCCACCAGACCCCACUAGCCCCCCUCAUAUCUCUCGAUUUCUCUCUGUAGAUGGCACACAAACUAAGGAGAUUAGGGGAUAAAGAGGGAAGAAGAAGCCACUCUCUAGCAGAACUCUCACCAACCACAAAAAACUAAACAGAACAAUGUAAGAGAAACACACACACACACACACACACACACAACACCGUAUGCACAUACAUGAGAAACAAUACACACAAAAAUACACAAAAUACGAUGAGGAGGUCCAAAGCUCAUCAAAUGGUGCCGUCUGUGGGUACAUUUGAACUGUAGACGUGAGUAGACCUGGCUCGAUCAGAAGAAAUCUGAUCAAGGAGAAGUUAUUUAGAAUUUUUAAUGUCUUUUUAUUUUUAGGGCGCACGAAUUUUAUGAUAUUGUUGAUAUCUUAGAUAUACCUGCAAGUUUUAAAACAUCAGCACAUAUUUGUUAUUUAAUAUUUACUUGUACAAGUUUCAUUAUAAUAGCAUGUAUAAUUUUAUACAUAUUUCAUUGCAACCUCACUGAUUAUGUGGCAAUAUUUUUUGAAAGUGAAGCUCAUUGUGGUUUGAGUUGAUACCAAUUAAUGUGUGUUUAUCAUAGUAACGGCAUGGAAUAACUUGGUGUUAAGAGAGAUCAAGAAAUUGAAUGAUUUGAUGAUGCAAUAAAUUAUGCAGUAUUUUUAAAUGUUGUGAAGCACAAUGUCUGAGUGUGUUACAUCUGUCCAGAUUUUUUAGUGUGUGGGUGAGGUGCUGAAUUAAGGAUAGAACAAUGUGUGAGCAUGAGACGAGUCAUAUGCUAUUUAAUGAGCAUAUGAUAUUUGCUUGGUGGGAUCAUUUGCG